rnacentral:lncRNA from 1 species
AUGUAUAUUUGUAUUUAUUAUGGAUCCCCAUUAGUUCCUGCCAAGACAGCAGCUACUCUUCCUGGGGUUUAUUAUGGAUCCCCAUUAGUUCCUGCCAAGACAGCAGCUACUCUUCCUGGGGUUUAUUAUGGAUCCCCAUUAGUUCCUGCCAAGGCAGCAGCUACUCUUCCUGGGGUUUAUUAUGGAUCCCCAUUAGUUCCUGUCAAGGCAGCAGCUACUCUUCCUGGGGUUUAUUAUGGAUCCCCAUUAGUUCCUGCCAAGGCAGCAGCUACUCUUCCUGGGGUUUAUUAUGGAUCCUCAUUAGUUCCUGUCAAGGCAGCAGCUACUCUUCCUGGGGUUUAUUAUGGAUCCCCAUUAGUUCCUGCCAAGGCAGCAGCUACUCUUCCUGGGGUUUAUUAUGGAUCCUCAUUAGUUCCUGCCAAGACAGCAGCUACUCUUCCUGGGGUUUAUUAUGGAUCCCCAUUAGUUCCUGCCAAGGCAGCAGCUACUCUUCCUGGGGUUUAUUAUGGAUCCCCAUUACUUCCUGCCAAGGUAGCAGCUACUCUUCCUGGGGUUUAUUAUGGAUCCCCAUUAGUUCCUGCCAAGGCAGCAGCUACUCUUCCUGGGGUUUAUUAUGGAUCCCCAUUAGUUCCUGCCAAGGUAGCAGCUACUCUUCCUGGGGUUUAUUAUGGAUCCCCAUUAGUUCCUGCCAAGGCAGCAGCUACUCUUCCUGGGGUUUAUUAUGGAUCCUCAUUAGUUCCUGUCAAGGCAGCAGCUACUCUUCCUGGGGUUUAUUAUGGAUCCCCAUUAGUUCCUGCCAAGGCAGCAGCUACUCUUCCUGGGGUUUAUUAUGGAUCCCCAUUAGUUCCUGCCAAGGCAGCAGCUACUCUUCCUGGGGUUUAUUAUGGAUCCCCAUUAGUUCCUGCCAAGGCAGCAGCUACUCUUCCUGGGGUUUAUUAUGGAUCCCCAUUAGUUCCUGCCAAGGCAGCAGCUACUCUUCCUGGGGUUUAUUAUGGAUCCUCAUUAGUUCCUGUCAAGGCAGCAGCUAGUCUUCCUGGGGCCAGCAACAUUAAGGCAGUAAUAUACAUUAUAAAACCAUUUUUAAACAUUAAAAUGCAUUUUAUAACAGACUUCAAAAUACAUUACGUGUGUGGGAGUGACAGACUGGCAGUAGUAGCUGUAAUGUGA